AGUAAAUGAACGCAGCUGAUGCAGCCACGCCGCGUGAGUGAUGAAGGCCUUCGGGUUGUAAAGCUCUUUUGUCCGGGACGAAAAUGACGGGACCGGAAGAAUAAGCCCCGGCUAACUCCGUGCCAGCAGCCGCGGUAAUAUACCAUACCAG
rnacentral:rRNA from 1 species